AAAAAAGGAAAUUGUGGAUGACAUUUUUCUACUUGUGUAACAUUUCCAACUUUUAUUUUAUUUUUUUUUCCUUUU
rnacentral:ribozyme from 14 species